rnacentral:rRNA from 1 species
AGAGAUGCAUUUAUUAGAUAAAAAACCAAUACAUACUUUUACAGUAUGAAAGUUGGUGAUUUACAAUAACUUAGCAAAUCGCAAAGUGUAAACAGGCGAUAAAUCAUUCAAGUUUCUGACCUAUCAGCUUUCGACGGUAUGGUAUUGGCUUACCGUGGCAGUGACGGUUAACGGGGGAUUAGGGUUCGAUUCCGGAGAGGGAGCCUGAGAAACGGCUACCACAUCUAAGGAAGGCAGCAGGCGCGCAAAUUACCCAAUUCUAACAGCAUAAGAGAGGUAGUGACAAGAAAUAACAAUACAAGGCAAUUAAAAUGCUUUGUAAUUGGAAUGAUAGAAAUUUAAACACUUUUUAAAGUAUCAAUUGGAGGGCAAGUCUGGUGCCAGCAGCCGCGGUAAUUCCAGCUCCAAUAGCGUAUAUUAAAAUUGUUGCAGUUAAAAAGCUCGUAGUUGAAUUUCUGUUAAAAAUAACCGGUCUGCUUUUAUUAAAAGUGGUAUCUUGGUGUGUUUUUA